ensembl:snRNA U4 U4 spliceosomal RNA
AUCUUUGUGCAGUGGCAAUAUCACAGCUCAUGAAGUUUAUCUGAGGCACAAUUAUUGCUGAUUGAAAUGUUUAGAGUAAUGAUUUUUCCCAC